AGCAGCGGCACUGCACGGCCCAUAUAUAUGUAUAUAUAUACAUUUUACUUACACAUACAUAAUAUUUUAUCGACUCCCAAACGGCCAGUGCGACUCUGACUUGCUGCACCGCGGGAUGUGACUUCUCCACAACCGCGAAAAUCCUGUUGAUACCAUCAAAUUUUCGCCUUAUCCUCACCCUUCACCAACAUCUUGGUCGUGUGACGACGGCCGUUUGCGCACACCGACAACCGUCCGGUCACCAUUUAUUGCUGGUUGAGUUCUUCGUCCCCUCCGGGGAGACAUUGUUGCGGGACACCGCCACUGGGUCUGCCCGGCAGGAGAGGAUUUUUCCCGACGGUCGCCAUGCAAGAGGUGGAAAGGGCCAAGGCCAAAAAAAUGGCGAAAAAAGAAAACAGUAAAAUAGAACGGCAGAAGUCAAUGGAAAACCAAAAAAAGACACUGCCUAAAGCACCAAGCACGGAAUCGAAAAAACAGGACAAAUAACAAAAAAAAUGAAGCACUUAUCAAUUUUAAAAUUGAUAUUUUUCUAUCACCGUAUAACAAGUCAAUAAUAUACCAGUACACUUUAUAUCGAAAACACAUAUUAUUUAACAUUUUAUUAUUAUAUUAUACCGGAUAUGAGACUCAUCGAUGUACAUAUCACUAUCGAUGGAUCGCCUACGUUUUUUAUCAAAAUUAUAUUAUAUAAUUUAUAAUAUGUAGUACGUAGUAUGUAGUAAUAAUAUUGUGUAGGUACCGUAAAAAAAAAUAAUAUCUGUUAUGCUAUUUGAGUAAGUUAACAGCUUAUACACUAAAUCGUAUGUAUCAUUACUAAUCUUAGUUUUAUUAUAUUAUUUAUUAUGAUUACAAUUUACACAAAUAAUAGUAUUAUUAUUAUUAAUUUAAUAACAAUGUAUGUUGUUGGUAUCACACCAAAAUUGAACGAUGAUACUUGUACGAGCGUUAUAAAUAUACUGAUUUAUCAAAUGUCAAAUCAUCCGCUUGGAAGGCAACUGCGGCGGUGUGAAAGUGAUUGGUGUGGACGGAUGAAAAACGAAUAAAAACCUAUCAAAACACGUUA